rnacentral:misc_RNA from 1 species
GAUGAAGAACGCAGCGAAAUGCGAUAAGUAAUGUGAAUUGCAGAAUUCAGUGAAUCAUCGAAUCUUUGAACGCACAUUGCGCCCGUUAGCAUUCUAGCGGGCAUGCCUGUCCGAGCGUCAUUUCAACCCUCAGGGUCCCCGUUCCGGCGGGGAACCUGGUGUUGGGGAUCGGCCCGCCCCGUGCGGCGCCGUCCCCCAAAUUCAGUGGCGGUCUCGCUGCAGCCUCCCCUGCGUAGUAGUUACAACCUCGGAUCGGAGCUCAGCGCGGCCACGCCGUAAAACCCCCGACUUUCUGAACGUUGACCUCGGAUCAGGUAGGAAUACCCGCUGAACUUAAGCAUAUCAAUAAGCGGAGA